UAAUACGGAGGGUGCAAGCGUUAAUCGGAAUUACUGGGCGUAAAGCGCACGCAGGCGGUUUGUUAAGUCAGAUGUGAAAUCCCCGGGCUCAACCUGGGAACUGCAUUUGAAACUGGCAAGCUAGAGUCUCGUAGAGGGGGGUAGAAUUCCAGGUGUAGCGGUGAAAUGCGUAGAGAUCUGGAGGAAUACCGGUGGCGAAGGCGGCCCCCUGGACGAAGACUGACGCUCAGGUGCGAAAGCGUGGGGAGCAAACAGGAUUAGAUACCCUGGUAGUCCACGCUGUAAACGAUGUCGAUUUGGAGGUUGUGCCCUUGAGGCGUGGCUUCCGGAGCUAACGCGUUAAAUCGACCGCCUGGGGAGUACGGCGCAAAGGUUA
rnacentral:rRNA from 1 species